rnacentral:rRNA from 1 species
UUCCUACGGGAGGCUGCAGUGGGGAAUAUUGGACAAUGGGCGCAAGCCUGAUCCAGCAAUGCCGCGUGAGUGAUGAAGGCCUUCGGGUUGUAAAGCUCUUUUGCCUGCGACGAUGAUGACGGUAGCAGGAGAAUAAGCCCCGGCUAACUUCGUGCCAGCAGCCGCGGUAAUACGAAGGGGGCUAGCGUUGUUCGGAAUUACUGGGCGUAAAGGGCGCGUAGGCGGCCCUGUCAGUCAAGCGUGAAAGCCCCGGGCUCAACCUGGGAAUUGCGCCUGAUACUGCAGGGCUUGAGGGUCGGAGAGGAUGGUGGAAUUCCCAGUGUAGAGGUGAAAUUCGUAGAUAUUGGGAAGAACACCGGUGGCGAAGGCGGCCAUCUGGACGACAUCUGACGCUGAGGCGCGAAAGCGUGGGGAGCAAACAGGAUUAGAUACCCCAGUAGUCGUU